rnacentral:rRNA from 1 species
ACGAACGCUGGCGGCGUGGCUAAGGCAUGCAAGUCGAACGGUCAUACUUCAAGGGUAACUGAGAGGUAUGAUAGUGGCGAACGGGUGAGGAAUACAUGGAUAACGUACCCUAGACUCAGGGAUAGCGGCGGGGAAACCCUUUGCGAAAGUGCCGGUAAUACCUGAUGACCCCGCGGGAUCGCAUGAUCUUGCGGGCAAAGUUACGGCGGUCUUGGAGCGGUUCAUGUCCUAUCAGCUAGUUGGCGGGGUAACGGCCCACCAAGGCUGCGACGGGUAUCGGGCGUGAGAGCGUGACCCGACACAUCGGAACUGAGAUACGGUCCGGACACCUACGGGUGGCUGCAGCAACGAAUAUUCCGCAAUGGGCGAAAGCCUGACGGAGCGACGCCGCGUGCAGGAGGAAGUCCCUCGGGAUGUAAACUGCUGUCAGGGGUGAGAAAAAAUGAUCAGCCCCAGAGGAAGCAUCGGCUAACUCCGU